AAAUGAUGUCUAUAUUGGUUUCCAAGGACUGCUAAAAACAAAGUACCACAAAUUGGGCUGCUUAAACAACAGAAAUUUAUUCUCCCACAGUCUUGGAAGCUAGAAGUCUGAAAUCAGGAUGCAGAUCAUUAUUGGAAGAUACAAUCUCCAGUGGGCCCUGAGCAUCCCUGUAUGUUCUUCCUUACAAUGCCAAAAAAACAAGUCCUUGACUGCUCUUGAGACAGUUUUCAGGUUGUGUUUCCAGCAAACACCCUGAGGAAUAAGACCUUGUAGUUUCCACCCAGCCCUUUUGGAAUGCUUCUACCAUCAUGUGCUGUCUUGCCUACUCUAAGAGAAAAAGCCUCAUGUAGCAGAGGGGAGUCACUGCCGCUAAUGCAUUUGAGAGGGACCAGCUGAGAGCCGGCAGCAAUCAUCAGAAAUGUGAUUGAGGCUAUCCUAUAUC